CCUCGUUAGACCCACUCGGAAAUCUUAAGUUAAUAACGUUGACAUUACUAAUUGAGACAAAAUUGUAGUUAAGAGACAAACUCAUACUGCAGAGAACUCAAUACGGUAUGCAUUCAAAAUGAAAUUUGCGAAAAUAAAAAUCAGUAUGUCAUUAUACAAUACAGAAUUGGCCCAAGUAAAACACGGUUUAAUCGUCGAGCUGUUUGGUUUUUUCAAUUCCAUGGAAAGCACGCGAUGUCGUUGUUUUAAAACCAGUAAUCGGCCGGUUUCAAAAGUAUACAUUCCAGAAUACCACGGAUUGAUGCUGUGUAGCUCAAUGCAUGCCCACACACAGAACACCCGGAUAAGUUGGUUCCGAUAUCCUCCAACCCGAUAGGAUGUUGGGUGAUAAGAUUUCUUUGACAAAAUAGACAUCAACAAAGCAUGCAUGCUUCCACUUCCAUUAAACUCGGCGAACGGAAAUGCCGCCAUCCUACAAAAUUCCCCUCACCUCUCCUAUUGUCGGUCUUUGAAAUUAACAACUACCAGGUACCGAGCAGAAUGUUCUGCACGGAAUUGACCUGACAACCGGCAUCCGCACAAAACAGCCACUUCAGCAAUUUCGGUUCCAAGUAUGUUCCAUUCAUGCACGUAAACCGUAGUUUAUUUUAGGAACCUCAGUUUACCGAACGCUAAAAUUUAUUAGGCAGCAUAUACUGCCGAAGCAAAAAGAUGAACGGAUACGAGGAUUUUACCGCCCGCCACCCUUCAACAAGUGUAAUGGAUAUAAGAUGAUUUGAUAGUAUUCGAAAAUUUUUGAAUUUUCGUGUCGAGUAGCAAAUUCCAUUGUUUUACAUUCUUGCUAUCUAAUUAAAAGCAACGAUGAGUUAAUCUUUCGUGCAUUAUUCUAGUUCGACAAAACGCAGAAUAAUUUUCAAGAAAAGACCGUGGAAACUAAUUAAUUAUUAUAAGGACAGAUGUCGAUAUUAAUAAA